rnacentral:rRNA from 1 species
AGAGUUUGAUCAUGGCUCAGAUUGAACGCUGGCGGCAUGCCUUACACAUGCAAGUCGAACGGCAGCACGGGAGCAAUCCUGGUGGCGAGUGGCGAACGGGUGAGUAAUAUAUCGGAACGUGCCCAGUCGUGGGGGAUAACGCAGCGAAAGCUGUGCUAAUACCGCAUACGAUCUUUGGAUGAAAGCGGGGGACCGUAAGGCCUCGCGCGAUUGGAGCGGCCGAUAUCAGAUUAGCUAGUUGGUGGGGUAAAAGCUUACCAAGGCGACGAUCUGUAGCUGGUCUGAGAGGACGACCAGCCACACUGGAACUGAGACACGGUCCAGACUCCUACGGGAGGCAGCAGUGGGGAAUUUUGGACAAUGGGCGCAAGCCUGAUCCAGCAAUGCCGCGUGCAGGAUGAAGGCCUUCGGGUUGUAAACUGCUUUUGUACGGAACGAAACGGUUCUUUCUAAUAAAGAGGGCUAAUGACGGUACCGUAAGAAUAAGCACCGGCUAACUACGUGCCAGCAGCCGCGGUAAUACGUAGGGUGCGAGCGUUAAUCGGAAUUACUGGGCGUAAAGCGUGCGCAGGCGGUUUUGUAAGACAGAUGUGAAAUCCCCGGGCUCAACCUGGGACCUGCAUUUGUGACUGCAAGGCUAGAGUACGGUAGAGGGGGAUGGAAUUCCGCGUAGCAGUGAAAUGCGUAGAUAUGCGGAGGAACACCGAUGGCGAAGGCAAUCCCCUGGACCUGUACUGACGCUCAUGCACGAAAGCGUGGGGAGCAAACAGGAUUAGAUACCCUAGUAGUCC